GUACUCUGAUUUCUCUUCAGCUGUGGAAUAAAUGUUUUGCCUUUUACUAAAGAUUUCCGUGAAGAGGCAUACUCUAAUGAGCUUAAACUGAUUUUUUAUCAUUUGAUCUUGAUACUACCG
rfam:Anopheles merus strain MAF unplaced genomic scaffold supercont2.99, whole genome shotgun sequence.